rnacentral:rRNA from 1 species
CCUACGGGAGGCAGCAGUGGGGAAUAUUGCACAAUGGGCGCAAGCCUGAUGCAGCCAUGCCGCGUGUGUGAAGAAGGCCUUCGGGUUGUAAAGCACUUUCAGCGGGGAGGAAGGCGUUAAGGUUAAUAACCUUGGCGAUUGACGUUACCCGCAGAAGAAGCACCGGCUAACUCCGUGCCAGCAGCCGCGGUAAUACGGAGGGUGCAAGCGUUAAUCGGAAUUACUGGGCGUAAAGCGCACGCAGGCGGUCUGUCAAGUCGGAUGUGAAAUCCCCGGGCUCAACCUGGGAACUGCAUUCGAAACUGGUAGGCUAGAGUCUUGUAGAGGGGGGUAGAAUUCCAGGUGUAGCGGUGAAAUGCGUAGAGAUCUGGAGGAAUACCGGUGGCGAAGGCGGCCCCCUGGACAAAGACUGACGCUCAGGUGCGAAAGCGUGGGGAGCAAACAGGAUUAGAUACCCGAGUAGUC